UCUGGUAAUGAUGGCAGAGAGGUCACACCCGUUCCCAUACCGAACACGGAAGUUAAGCUCUCUAGCGCCGAUGGUAGUUGGGACCUUGUCCCUGUGAGAGUANAAAAGUUAAAUGAGUUACAAUGA
rnacentral:rRNA from 1 species